ACAAACCAGCUGGGCAUGUUUAAACCCCCAUCUAAGUGCAGUGUCCUCAAUACAGUACUGACUGCUUCCUUUACUGUCAGUGGCAACGUCUUGUAGAAUCCUUUGUUAGAGAAGAAAAAGGCUGUGCCAUGCUUUAUACUAAACAGUGUGAGGAAACCAGUAGGAGAUUAGGAUUUACUCCUGACCCUGGGAAUUGUGAUCAGUGGUUAUGUGAUGUCGUCAAGCCUUUCAGCUACCUUCGCCUAGGAGAAAAACUCAGCUGCAGGGAGUUUGAGCUCCAGCAGUUGGGGCUACUGUAACACCCACCACCCUGGAUGGGAGAAGUCUGCAGAGUCCCACCACCUCUGCUGCUGCUGCCUCCAAUGAUGAUGGGGGGGAUAAAGCUGGGUCCGUGGAGCCUCUUGCUCCAGGCGCCAACAUUCAAGAAACACAGAGCUGGCUGGUACACAACAGAUUUGGCAACUACGUCAGAACAUUUAAUAACUUUGCAGGAGCUGACUUACUGAGAUUGACCAGAGAAGACUUGGUACAGAUCUGUGGCCCAGCUGACGGCAUCAGACUUUUCAACGCCCUUCAAGCCAGAGCGAUCAGACCAAGGUUGACCAUGUAUGUCUGUCUAGAAUCGCAACAUGGUGAGUACAUACAAGAAUUACAUAAGAUUUG